CAGCAGCCACGGUAAUACGGAGGGGGCUAGCGUUGUUCGGAAUUACUGGGCGUAAAGCGCACGUAGGCGGCUUUGUAAGUUAGAGGUGAAAGCCCGGAGCUCAACUCCGGAAUUGCCUUUAAGACUGCAGAGCUAGCAGGUGAGAGAGGUGAGUGGAAUUCCGAGUGUAGAGGUGAAAUUCGUAGAUAUUCGGAAGAACACCAGUGGCGAAGGCGGCUCACUGGCUCAUACUGGACGCUGAGGUGCGAAAGCGUGGGGAGCAAACAGGAUUAGAUACCCGGGUAGUCCCUGUCUCUUAUAC
rnacentral:rRNA from 1 species